UUAAUAUUUAAAUUUCAACUAAAAAUCUCUCUUUUAGUUCUUUAACAAAUCAAAUGCAAGUAAUUUGAACUAAUCAUCCUACAUAGGACCUAUCCAAAACUAGACAACCUGUUACACACACUUUAGACUUGUUUGGUUGGAACACGACUUUUAGCCCUAGGUUAGGCUGACAUUUUCUUUUGUUAUUCAGUGUUUACUACAUGUACAUGUUAUAUAAAUGUUAUACUUAAAUUUCCUGUUUAUUAUAUUUUUAUGUACUUGCAUUUAUUUUUUGAAUGGCAUCUACGCUCAUUUGUAUAUUUCUCUUUUAUCUUAUUUUGCGAGGUACAUUGGAUCAUGACGAUAGAGAAUUAAAGAGGAGCAUUUUCUUAGGAGCUUUUAAGUGGCCGCGCCACAAUCUGGGAUCAUUUGCUCAUGAACUUGUAAAUGGCAGCAUCACAAUCAGUUGGAAGAUAUUUAUUCAAGCUUGUUUCUCGUCAAAUGUGAUGCUGUUUUAAAUAGAGCCUCUCGUAAACUAGGACAAAAGCAGAGCAGAAUGACAAAAUUUUGCAGUGGGAUAUUGCUUAUUCUUCAUAUUGAUAUGCGUCAUUUGGGCUCCUAUGUUGAUGUAUAUCAGCGGUAAUCCAACCAAUAUUGCAAAUCCUAUUAAAGAUGUAAGUGUUCAGAUUGAUAUUAAAGCAACAGGCGGAAGGCUUAGACCAUCUCGAACCGAAAAUCUCAUUUUUCACUUCAAAAUGCAGUGAAACCAAAAAAAUGCCGUGUUUCAUCAGUGCGACGUCAAUAUUGGCGUCGCACUGUUCAUCCGCAAUCAAAUGACGUCAAAAAUGGCGAUCGGUUGGAGCAAAGCAAGAACGACAAACAAGUGUUUGCCGUUCGGUUGGA